rnacentral:lncRNA from 1 species
GGCGUGGCAGAGGCGACGUGCUGGGCGCAGCGUGGAGGCAACAGCGUGGCCUGCUCCAAAUCCGGGCGACGGCAACGACUCGUAGGGCUAGGAUCUGGACGGCGGCACAACACCCGACCACUUCCUCCCUCUCCUCAGCAUCGCGUCGAGCGGAUCGACAGCAGUGGCGCCAUGGUGACCUAGAUUUGGGCAUGAUGCCCUAGGCCCAUUUUGACCCAGAUCUAGGCCCGUGCGACCUUUUUCUUUUUUUUGUUUAUUUUCAUCGAUUAACGUAGGCGAGCACAUAACCGCCUCCGUUAAUCCUCAUUUAUUGUAACCUUACAUCGGAGGCGGUUCUCUAUGCCCGUCUCCGAAAAUAAAAAACAACCGCCUCUGUAAAAGUUUUAUGUAGUAGUGAGAUCCAUCACAGGAGCAGCGGAUCUAGCUCAAGCGUGACAGGCACUUGUGUGGCGAAUCCAGCUCAGGGACAUCGAGAUUGGCAUGUGGCCCGCGCACACAUGAAUUUGAAGAGCAGCAAUGACGCACGUGGAUGAUGGGCAUGGCAGGAUCGUCCAUCUCAUUGUUUAGCUAUUUUGUAAAAAAAAAAU